UUUUGGCUUGUCACCUCAUCCACAUGGCGGGGAAGACAGACAGACAGACAGACAGACAGGGACCGCUAGACAACGACUUAACACACAAGAUUACACAGCCAGUUGAAGCCGACUUUAUGUCUAGGAAAAGACUGCAUAACGUUUCCCCCCCUGAGGGAUUGCCACCUUAUUUUGGUUCAGGGGGUGUGCGUGCCUCAGUGACCUUAAGAGCUAAACCAGCAGGAGCUUAGUCUUCAGAUGGGACACCCAAGUUGGACAGGUCUGAAGGUAGACGCCUGACAAAGUGCAAUCCACUUCUCGGAGUUGGACACAUAGACCCCUUUCAAUUCAUCGUUACUAUAAGCACAGGAAAAAAAAGUGCUGGAGCGUGAUGUGUACACAUGAUGCCCCCUUCACAUUUCUGACUGCCCCCUCAUACAUGCCUGCCUAGAACCGGUCAGCUACCACGCCCCCGUGGAGAAGAUCUGUGAGAAACUAAAGAAGAAACUAAAGAAGAACCGGCCCUUAUCCGGGGCCGCGACCCGGCCCCGGAUAAGCGGAAGAAAAUGGAUGGAUGGAUGGAUAGAACCGGCCCUGGAAAGGAAAGGAAAGGAAAGGAAAGGAAAAGAAAAAAACAGAAAAAAUCUUUACUAGAAAAAAUGGAUAUUCUCUGAGAUAAAUAUUGUUCUGUAUUGUUCCCUUUGGCAGGACACUUCAGUGAAAUAAAUACAUGCAGAUUUGAGCCUUUAAAAAGUGUAAGUUAGACAGAAAAGUGACUGUAGGCAGUAUGCAAUUACUCAUGCCUGUUACAAUGAAGUCAGUCAGUGGUAUGCUUCUUUUUCAUCCAGCUUUUCCUUUAUCAUCUUUGACCCUAGGCUGAAAUAAAAAAAAUAAAAAUCAGAGGAAAAAAGGGGUAUUCUCUGAGAUUUAUAUUGUUCUGAAUUGUUUCUUUUGACAAGUGACCAAACUGAAAUAAAUACAUGUGGAUUUGA